CAGAGCAUAGCUUAAAUUAGAAGAGCACCUCCCUUACACCGAGGAGAUAUCCGUGCAAAUCGGGUUGCCCUGA
rnacentral:tRNA from 2 species